GUGAGGAAUUUUCCGCAAUGGGCGAAAGCCUGACGGAGCAAUGCCGCGUGAAGGAUGAAGGCCUAUAGGUUGUAAACUUCUUUUCUUAGAGAAGAAUAUUGACGGUAUCUGAGGAAUAAGCAUCGGCUAACUCUGUGCCAGCAGCCGCGGUAAGACAGAGGAUGCAAGCGUUAUCCGGAAUGAUUGGGCGUAAAGCGUCUGUAGGUGGCUUCAAAAGUCUCCUGUCAAAGAUCAGGGCUUAACCCUGGGCCGGCAGGAGAAACUCUGAGGCUAGAGUUUGGUAGGGGCAGAGGGAAUUCCCGGUGGAGCGGUGAAAAGCGUAGAGAUCGGGAGGAACACCAAAGGCGAAAGCACUCUGCUGGGCCACAACUGACACUGAGAGACGAAAGCGAGGGGAGCAAAAGGGAUUAGAAACCCCAGUAGUCC
rnacentral:rRNA from 1 species